GGUUGCGAUCAUACCAGCACUAAUGCACUGGAUCCCAUUAGAACUCCGCAGUUAAGCAUGCUUGGGCGAGAGUUGUACUAGGAUGGGUGACCCCCUGGGAAGUCCUCGUGUUGCAACUC
rnacentral:rRNA from 1 species